AGUUAUAUAUUAGGCGACGAAUUACACUUGAGUUUUCCAAAAUUUUAUAUUGUGCUACGAUGUCUCUUUAUUCGUUGUCCAUAACAUUUAUAAGGGCAACGAAAUAGAUCUUGUUGCCUAAAAUAAUGAAAAAUAAAGCGCUGGGAAUUUGUUACAUACUUACAUUGUAUAUUUCACCCAAAAAAUUGAAUUUCAAAUAAACCGCCAUUAAAUUUCUAUCACGCUUGUACCGCCACUACCCACAUCUCAUCCUUAAUUGUUUUCAACUUUAUCCCUACUCUUCCAGAUUCUUAUAUUUUCAUUCUCCUCCAUCUAAAACUCGUUCCUCAACAAACUUAUGGUUUCAAUUAUAUAUAAAAAAAAAAUCUCCUUUUUUGUUUUCUUAAUCACCCCGUUAGAAUCUAUUGCGCUUAGUAUACUGCUUUUAUCUCUACAGCGCUUGAAUCGUAUUAAUUUGGGGGACGAAAAACGACAUCAAAUUGCAGCAAUGAUCAGAUUUCAUCACAAAUGUAAUUUGCUAUAUAUGAAGAAGUACAACUUCAACCACUUUGAUAAUAUUAUCGCAAAAGACAAGGAAAAUAAGGAGAGGAGACGAGUUGAUUGUGAUUGUUAGGCUUUACAUAGCAGAUCAUAGAUGAGUUAUGAAGAGGUUGUAAUUUUAUAUGAUGUCUUUGUAAUUGUUAAUGGAUCCUCAAAGAUUACUGAAUGUAGAAUUCUUUUAUGUUAUUUUUCAUAGUUAGGUAGGAUGAUUAUCGAUAUUUGUAAAAAACCUUGUGUAAGUUGGAUCAUAUUAAGAAAUUCAGUUUUCAUAGUAUUUGUUAUCGAGUUAUCAUGUAAUCUAUUUACAAUAACUUUUAGCAUUGUUUUCAA